UGGAUGAUGUGGUUAAUUCGAUGCAACGCGAAAACCUUACCCACCUUUGACAUGUACGGAAGUUGCCAGAGAUGGCUUCGUGCUCGAAAGAGAGCCGUAACACAGGUGCUGCAUGGCUGUCGUCAGCUCGUGUCGUGAGAUGUUGGGUUAAGUCCCGCAACGAGCGCAACCCUUGUCAUUAGUUGCUACGAAAGGGCACUCUAAUGAGACUGCCGGUGACAAACCGGAGGAAGGUGGGGAUGACGUCAAGUCCUCAUGGCCCUUAUAGGUGGGGCUACACACGUCAUACAAUGGCUGGUACAAAGGGUUGCCAACCCGCGAGGGGGAGCCAAUCCCAUAAAGCCAGUCGUAGUCCGGAUCGCAGUCUGCAACUCGACUGCGUGAAGUCGGAAUCGCUAGUAAUCGUGGAUCAGCAUGUCACGGUGAAUACGUUCCCGGGUCUU
rnacentral:rRNA from 1 species